ensembl:lncRNA
AGCAGUCUGGCUCUGCAGCAGCGAAGGGAAGGGGGGAGGGUGUGUACAAGGGCGCGCGCUCGCGCGCUCUGGAGAGCAGGGGAGAGCUUGGCGCUGAGCCAGCUACCAUCAGAAUUAGCUCAUUGUUCAAUAUAACCAGCAUAGACAACCAAAGCCUGAAAGAGAGCGAGAUUUUCCCCUCUUGCUGCUGCCCCCAUCCCGUUUCUCCCCUCCCCCGUUUUCCAAGGCUGCACUCAGAAAAAAGGUGCAGUCAUUCCUUCCCACACCCCUUACCCAGCCUUCUCUCUUCCCCCUUUCUAUAAAUUCUUUUCUAUAGCAUGCUGCCCCUUUUAAACUCACAUUUGUAUUUCAGAUCAUGUAGAAAGGAGAGAAAGUGAGAAGGGGAAUUUGUCAGAAUUUUCAUUUUGCUGACAGUGAAUUUCUGAGUCUUAAAAGAGUGCAAGAAUGGUUUAUCAUCCAAGGCUCACAGUCAGCCAGAAACAUAUUCCAAUGAGCCAUGGACAUGGAGGAUUUAUUAAGGACAAUCUUCCCAUCCCAAAGGAAGUUAACCGCAAAAAGAAUGAGAUGGCUCUGUUCCUGACACCAGUGAAUGGCUCUGGACACCAUUUCAACAAAAUCUAUUACCUCUCUUUUUAAUCAUUACUCCUCAUUUGUAUUAAAUAUGGUGUAUGGGUGUUGAUGAGGUCAUCAUGGUGUCAUAUAUCGGGAAUUGUUUCUUUGUAAAUCAUAAGAAGAAAAGUACGGGACUCUGAGCCUUGCUUUAGAGAAUUACAGUGGAAUAUAUGUACCAUAAACCGGUUUUUAACCAUUCUGACUCAAGUAAAAGCUCUCAGAAUUUCACACUGUGAACCCAAGUUUACAAACACUACAGGUGGGCCUUCAGGCCUUGUUCUACCACAGCAAUGUCUUCCACUAGCCAAAAUCAACUGACCACAUGCAACUGGUAAACUGCUGCCUCUCCAUUUCCAUGAUUCCUAACUGCUUCUUGCAGAGGCUGAGAGUCCCCCUUUUAUUUCAUUUUAGAUGUAACAAGCCUAGUAGUUUAUUUUCAUCAAUUGUCUGUAUAUCUCUAUAUUUUAUCCAUGUACUCUUUUGAUGUAUAGAAGUAGUAUGAAACUCAUGGUUUCCUUGUGGUAAGUGACUGAGAUGCUGCCACGGGAUUUGAGACACUGAUGAAUGGUGCUAUUUUGGACUUUAAACAUGCUCCUUGGCAAGGUAGCUCUGAUGGAGUUAUUUUUAAUUUCCAUGUUCUAAGAAGGUGUUGGUACUUUGUUCUCGUUCUUUAGACUGGACUGACUUGUUUCUUUGUGUCUUCAGUGUGGCUUUCUUAUUCAGUGUUGUAGGGUGAGUAAUUCCUAAUAUAGCAAGUAACGAACUGAUUCCCACCUGGGUAUGCUCACAAUCUUGCAUUGAUAGUGGGAGCAAUCACAAAACUGUAAUUUACUACAAUUUUUGUUUCUUCCAUUCUGCUUAGUAAUUUGGUUGAAGAACAGCAAUAAUUUUUUAUGAUCUUUAAGGGUCUUGUCUUUUUUUUUAAUACAUUAGAAAGUCACAUUUUUAAAUACGGGGGUUUAGCAUGUUUUUAAUGUCAUCUUAAAAACUGAUUAAAUUAACUGUUUUUAAACAUGCAGAAAUGGGAACUCUUAAAAUGACAGUUAAGAUAUUUCCACGAUAUUUCCAAUAUGUGGAUUUUACAAUUUUGUUCUUGCUCCCAGGAAAUUAGGAAACAAUUUUCAAAACAAAACAGUGUCAUCUAUUCAUGGAAUGUUGUUGUGUUAGACACAGUCUGGGAGCCCACCUUGAUUUUUUAUAACUUCUGUCUUUCGGCUCUUCCUUUUACUGGGCAGAUUUUGUCCAGAACCAUUUAGCUUCUGACUGUUAAAUGCCAAUGCAUGCACUGCACUUCUUAAUUUUCUCUCCCUUUUCCUCCUACCCCAUUCUUGUGCACAUUUUUUCUAGUAGUUUAGAUAAGUCAAUUGUGCUGUAUAUACAUGUAACAAAAAACAGUAUUCAGCAGUUGUGGCAUUUAUGUAUAAUUGCAAUUGUGUACUGCUGAAAAUGUAGGCUUUUGUAACAGUGUGAUCUUUAAUAAUGCACUAACACUCAAUGUAUUUUAGCUCUUUUAGUAGGAUUUGUUCAAUAAAUAUGCAAGCUCUAAGAGUAACCAAAAUUUUGGAGUUUUUUUUUUAUUACUCUAUCUUUAUUGUUUUAAAAUAUUUUA